rnacentral:rRNA from 1 species
UACAGAGGUCUCAAGCGUUGUUCGGAUUCAUUGGGCGUAAAGGGUGCAUAGGCGGCGCGGUAAGUCGGGUGUGAAAUCUCGGAGCUUAACUCCGAAACUGCAUUCGAUACUGCGGUGCUUGAGGACUGGAGAGGAGACUGGAAUUCAUGGUGUAGCAGUGAAAUGCGUAGAGAUCAUGAGGAAGACCAGUGGCGAAGGCGGGUCUCUGGACAGUUCCUGACACUGAGGCACGAAGGCCAGGGGAGCAAACGGG